rnacentral:rRNA from 1 species
UGGGGAAUUUUGCACAAUGGGGGAAACCCUGAUGCAGCGACGCCGCGUGAUUUAGAAGGCCUUCGGGUUGUAAAAAUCUUUUGUAUGGGAAGAAAAUGACAGUACCAUACGAAUAAGGACCGGCUAAUUACGUGCCAGCAGCCGCGGUAAUACGUAAGGUCCGAGCGUUGUCCGGAAUCAUUGGGCGUAAAGGGUACGUAGGCGGAUAAGCAAGUUAGAAGUGAAAUCCUAUAGCUCAACUAUAGUAAGCUUUUAAAACUGCUCAUCUUGAGGUAUGGAAGGGAAAGUGGAAUUCCUAGUGUAGCGAUGAAAUGCGCAGAUAUUAGGAGGAAUACCGGUGGCGAAGGCGACUUUCUGGCCAUAUACUGACGCUGAGGUACGAAAGCGUGGGUAGCAAACAGG